CCUGNGAACUUGGAAAACUGUUUCUGCUUGGCAGGUUUGGGGCUUCUGGGUUAAACCAGGAGAAAAACCCCUCUUGCCAGCAGUAUAUUUUAAACCAUGUUGAUUAGAGUUGUCUGAAUUAAAAAAAAAAAUUGCUUAAAACUUUCAACAACGGAUCUCUUGGUUCUCGCAUCGAUGAAGAACGCAGCGAAAUGCGAUACGUAAUGUGAAUUGCAGAAUUUGUGAAUCAUCGAAUCUUUGAACGCNCAUUGCGCUCUCUGGUAUUCCGGAGAGCAUGCCUGUUUGAGCGUCAUUAAAAUCCUCAAUCUUUAUUGAUUGGUGUUGGACAGUGUGCAGUAAAAUGUACUUGUCCGAAAUGGAUUGCAAAAGACUUCGUAAUAAAUAAUGAUUGUUCGAGAUCUUUGGCAAAACUGGCCUCUGCUUUUUUAGCAGACCUUUUCUAAUUUGACCUCAAU
rnacentral:rRNA from 1 species